rnacentral:tRNA from 1 species
GCGGCUGUUGUGUAACGGUUAGCAUACAGGUCUGUGGAACCUGUGACGGGAGUUCAACUCUCCCCAGCCGCC